rnacentral:lncRNA from 1 species
AGAUUGUUCCUCCACCAUUUGUACUUGCCAUCUUCUUCCAAGUUGUUCAGAUAAUGAACUUGAGUAGAACGAAAAUCAACACGAAACAUAUCCGACUCUGGUGGAGGUAAAGUUGACAGCAGUUUUUGCACAGUGCUACGAGGAAUCUGUAAUUACUGGGUACAUCAAUAUUACAAAUAAUGAACUUGAGUAGAACGAAAAUCAACACGAAACAUAUCCGACUCUGGUGGAGGUAAAGUUGACAGCAGUUUUUGCACAGUGCUACGAGGAAUCUGUAAUUACUGGGUACAUCAAUAUUACAGUCUAUAAAUAUAGGUACCAAAGAAACAAUCCAGUGCAAAAUAUCCAUCUUUCUGACAGAAAAUAUGGAAAAACACAUUUCAUAGAAAACAUGGGAAGAAAUCAAUGUGACACUAAUGAAGUUUAACAGUCCAUAGCUAUACCAAAGCAAUGCUACUUAUCUGCCAUUUUAAAUUUUGUUCCCAACUUUUCUUAGGCAACUAUCAAUGAUUGAUACAUGACAUCAUAUACUUCCAGUUUGUGUAUAAUAAAUAUAUCCCAACUCAUUUGAGUGCACCGGAUGAUGAUUUUCAUUUGUCCACUAAUAGUUGCAAACAUGAACACGUUAACAGGAAAUUAGUCAGUAGUAAAAAUAUGCCAAAUGAAGAUUAGAUGACAGGCAC